GGUAGAAAGAAGAGGUAGGGAUGGAGGGAGGGAGAGAGGGAAACCAUGUUAGAUUAGAUGAGAGAGAUAGUGAUGGAUAGAAAAAUAGAGAGAGAAAUAUGGAUGGAGAGAAGAACAGAGGGAGAGUUGUUAGAUGAGAUGAGAGAUAGUGAUGGAGGGAGAGAAGAACGGGGAGCAAUGUUAGAUGAGAGAGAUAGUGAUGGAGGGAGAGAAGAACAGGGGAGAGAUGUUAGAUGAGAGAGAUAGUGAUGGAGGGAGAGAAGAACAGGGGAGAGAUGUUAGAUGAGAUGAGAGAGAGAUAGUGAUGGAGGGAGAGAAGAACAGGGGAGAGAUGUUAGAUGAGAUGAGAGAGAAAUAGUGAUGGAGGGAGAGAAGAACGGGGAGCAAUGUUAGAUGAGAGAGAUAGUGAUGGAGGGAGAGAAGAACAGGGGAGAGAUGUUAGAUGAGAGAGAUAGUGAUGGAGGGAGAGAAGAACAGGGGAGAGAUGUUAUAUGAGAUGAGAGAGAUAGUGAUGGAGGGAGAGAAGAACAGGGGAGAGAUGUUAUAUGAGAUGAGAGAGAUAGUGAUGGAGGGAGAGAAGAACAGGGGAGAGUUGUUAGAUGAGAGAGAUAGUGAUGGAGGGAGAGAAGAACAGGGGAGAGAUGUUAGAUGAGAGAGAUAGUGAUGGAGGGAGAGAAGAACAGGGGAGAGAUGUUAGAUGAGAUGAGAGAGAAAUAGUGAUGGAGGGAGAGAAGAACAGGGGAGAGAUGUUAGAUGAGAUGAGAGAGAAAUAGUGAUGGAGGGAGAGAAGAACAGGGUAGAGAUGUUAGAUGAGAGAGAUAGUGAUGGAGGGGGAGAAGAACAGGGGAGAGAUGUUAAAUGAGAUGAAUGAGAGAGAUAGUGAUUGAUGGAGAGAAGAACAGGGGAGAGAUGUUAGAUGAGAUGAGAGAGAAAUAGUGAUGGAGGGAGAGAAGAACAGGGAGCAAUGUUAGAUGAGAGAGAUAGUGAUGGAGGGAGAGAAGAACAGGGGAGAGAUGUUAGAUGAGAGAGAUAGUGAUGGAGGGAGAGAAGAACAGGGGAGAGAUGUUAGAUGAGAUGAGAGAGAAAUAGUGAUGGAGGGAGAGAAGAACAGGGGAGAGAUGUUAGAUGAGAUGAGAGAGAAAUAGUGAUGGAGGGAGAGAAGAACGGGGAGCAAUGUUAGAUGAGAGAGAUAGUGAUGGAGGGAGAGAAGAACAGGGGAGAGAUGUUAGAUGAGAGAGAUAGUGAUGGAUGGAGAGAAGAACAGAGGGAGAGAUGGUAGAUGAGAUGAGAGAUAGUGAUGGAGGGAGAGAAGAACAGGGGAGAGAUGUUAUAUGAGAUGAGAGAGAUUUACAUUUACA